rnacentral:rRNA from 1 species
GGACCCGCACAAGCAGCGGAGCAUGUGGUUUAAUUCGACGCAACGCGAAGAACCUUACCAAGGCUUGACAUCCCCUUGACAAGUGCAGAGAUGUACUCUCUCCUUCGGGAGCAAGGGUGACAGGUGGUGCAUGGUUGUCGUCAGCUCGUGUCGUGAGAUGUUGGGUUAAGUCCCGCAACGAGCGCAACCCUUGUCAUUAGUUGCCAGCAUUAAGUUGGGCACUCUAAUGAGACUGCCGGUGAUAAACCGGAGGAAGGUGGGGAUGACGUCAAAUCAUCAUGCCCCUUAUGUCUUGGGCUACACACGUGCUACAAUGGUCGGAACAAAGGGAAGCGAAGGAGCGAUCCGGAGCAAAACCUCAUAAACCGAUCCCAGUUCGGAUUGCAGGCUGCAACUCGCCUGCAUGAAGUCGGAGUUGCUAGUAAUCGCGAAUCAGAACGUCGCGGUGAAUGCGUUCCCGGGUCUU